GAUGAACGCUGGCGGCGUGCCUAAUACAUGCAAGUCGAGCGAACAGACGAGGAGCUUGCUCCUCUGACGUUAGCGGCGGACGGGUGAGUAACACGUGGAUAACCUACCUAUAAGACUGGGAUAACUUCGGGAAACCGGAGCUAAUACCGGAUAAUAUAUUGAACCGCAUGGUUCAAUAGUGAAAGACGGUUUUGCUGUUACUUAUAGAUGGAUCCGCGCCGCAUUAGCUAGUUGGUAAGGUAACGGCUUACCAAGGCAACGAUGCGCAGCCGAACUGAGAGGGUGAUCGGCGGCAUGGGAACGUAGCCACGGUCCAGACUCCUACGGUAGGCAGCAGUAGGGAAUCUUCCGCAAUGGGCGGAAACUUUGCGGAGCAACGCCGCGUGAGUGAUGAAGGUCUUCGGAUCGUAAAGCUCUGUUAUUAGGUAAGAACAAAUGUGUAAGUAACUAUGCACGUCUUGACGGUACCUAAUCAGAAAGCCACGGCUAACUACGUG
rnacentral:rRNA from 1 species